rnacentral:rRNA from 1 species
CCUACGGGCGGCAGCAGUGAGGAAUAUUGGUCAAUGGCCGUAAGGCUGAACCAGCCAAGUCGCGUGAAGGAAGAAGGAUCUAUGGUUUGUAAACUUCUUUUAUAGGGGAAUAAAGGGAUCCAAGUGUGGAUAUUUGCAUGUACCCUAUGAAUAAGCAUCGGCUAACUCCGUGCCAGCAGCCGCGGUAAUACGGAGGAUGCGAGCGUUAUCCGGAUUGAUUGGGGUUAAAGGGUGCGUAGGUUGUUUUUUAAGUCAGCGGUGAAAGUUUGUGGCUCAACCAUAAAAUUGCCGUUGAAACGGGCAGCCUUGAGUGUGUUUGCGGUAGGCUGCAUGCGUGGUGUAGCGGU